UACGGAGGGUGCGAGCGUUGUCCGGAAUCAUUGGGCGUAAAGGGCGCGUAGGUGGCCCGGUCAGCGUGCGGUGAAAGCUCGGGGCUCAACCCCGAGUCGGCCGUGCGAACUGCUGGGCUUGAGCACUGUAGAGGCAGGCGGAAUUCCGGGUGUAGCGGUGGAAUGCGUAGAGAUCCGGAAGAACACCGGUGGCGAAGGCGGCCUGCUGGGCAGUGGCUGGACACUGAGGCGCGACAGCGUGGGGAGCAACAGGG
rnacentral:rRNA from 1 species